AGUUGAAAAGUAAGUUGGAAAAAGCGAAAAGUCGGGUAACGGUAGUCGAAAAAAACAACAACAACACUACACAGCUGCUAUAUUGUGCGAUUUAUGAAAAACAACACAAAACAUAAUAGCAUUUAACCUUUGAAAAAAGAAAUAAACGAAAGUGUUUUUGUUUUCAAUCUGGUUUUGUGGUUGCGCAUUAAGUUCAUUGAUAAACAAAAAAAAAAAAAAAAAUCGCAAAAAAUCUUCUAAAAAUAAAACCAGUGACGCCGCUGAAGACAAUACAACAACAAGCACAAGAAAAAUAAAUAGCUGUUAGAGAGAUAAUUCAAGAAUAAACAAGACAAGAUGUGCGGUGGAUUUACGUGUUCAAAGAAUGCAUUAAUUGCGUUAAAUAUUUUAUAUGUGAUGGUGGGCUUCCUCUUGAUUGGCGUUGGUGUCUAUGCUCGUGCUGCUUCAAUUGUUACAAAUCUUCCCAUUGUUGGUGGCAUAUUGGCUUGCGGCAUAAUCUUAAUACUCAUAUCGAUAUUAGGAUUAGCCGGUGCUGUUAAACAUCAUCAAGUUAUGCUGUUCUUCUACAUGAUCAUUCUGUUCUUGCUCUUCCUCAUUCAAUUUUCCAUUGCCAGCUCUUGUUUGGCCGUGAACUCGGAGCAGCAACAAGAAUUUGCCGAAGAAGGAUGGAACACAGUGCCCGCCUCCAUGCACAAACAGGUGCAAGACACAUUCCUGUGUUGUGGCUUCAACUCAACCAAUACCACUGGCACCUCAGCGGAAGCCUCAUGCGAUUUGGUCAACAAACAGUGCUGUGCGGGCUCAUUCGACUCAAAUUGCCAGUGUCCACCAUGUUUGCCCAAGUUGGAGGAUAAAAUCAACUAUGCCUUUAAGUUGUGUGGUGGUUUGGGUAUUUUCUUCAGUUUUACAGAGUUCAUUGGAGUUUGGUUAACUGUGCGCUAUCGCAAUCAAAAAGAUCCUCGUGGAUUACCCAGUGCUUUUCUCUAAAUACACAAAACGAAAUUCAAUGAAAUUGAAUAUUUAUACGAAAAUCAAUAAUUUAUACAAUUAACAAUUAUUUGAUAAUUUUUUCUAAUUUCCCACAAAAUUUGCAAAAGAAGGGAAUAACACACCCACACACACACAUAUUCAAACUAAUUUCUAGUCAUGUCUUAAGAAGUCGUCUCUUUCGGACUUUCUGAUAGUAUUCACAAUGAAUCUCUUCUACAGAGAAUUUGUAGAAAAACAACAACAACAUUCACUAUUUUAGAUCUUUUACAAGAGAAAAAAGAACACACACACACAGCAACAAUACAAAAAAAGAAUGACAGAUAAUAAUAAACGAAAUGUAAUGUUUAUGAAUAAACACUCAAACACACAUACAUACAUACAUACAUACAUACAUACAUAGUUAUACCAUAAUUAAAAUACAAUUACCAAAAACACCACUCUUACUCAUAAUGAAAGAAAGAAAAAAAGAAAAAAUCAAUACUACUUAUUAACUAAUUAACCAUCGUCAUCAUUAUAUAGGCAUUGAAAGAAGUAUUUGAUUUAAUUUUGCAUUUAGGAUAUUUAUUUAACCAUAACACAUUAGUCAUUAGCCUACCAUACAAUACUUACAUAGGCUUAACGUCAUUAUACACAUACCACAUGUUUCUAUACAUACAUACAUAUAUACAUACAUAUAAUAUAUACUAUAUAUACAACAUAAGAGAAUAUAUUAUGUACUUAUAUCUAAGUCUAUACAUACUUAAAUAUUUAGAAAGACAUUAGCAUAUAAAAAAGUCCGUUUGUCCAGGCCAUUCGGAAUGUAAUCAAACUAUCUAUCUAUCAAUCUAUCCAAUCAUUGUCAUCACACUUCUUUCGAGUACAGCCUUCGUUUUGUCAUGCUCCAACUCCUUUUCCCUCCAUUCCCUACUGACUUAUUAUUCAGAAUGUUUUUAGUUUCUUGUUCACAUAUCCAAAAGGGUUUCAUAGCCAAUUAAAGUUGACAACAUUGUAUUGAAUAUCCUUCUUAUCCUAUCUAAAAACAAUGAUAUAUUCCCUCUGGAAACAUCGUCAUAGCGACAUAAAUUCCUAUUUUAGCACGCAUAUAACAAUCUGGAGAGUCAAAAAAUAUUGGGUACUUGCUGUAUUCUUAGCCCGUCGCUAUCGCAAUCAAAAUGAUCCCGAUUAUUUGCCAGCCCGUGCCGUUUUUCCCCGCAAUUAUA